rnacentral:rRNA from 1 species
CGGAGUGGCGAACGGGUGAGUAACGCGUGGGUAACCUGCCUCAUACAGGGGGAUAACAGUUAGAAAUGACUGCUAAUACCGCAUAAGACCACAGCACCGCAUGGUGCAGGGGUAAAAACUCCGGUGGUAUGAGAUGGACCCGCGUCUGAUUAGGUAGUUGGUGGGGUAACGGCCUACCAAGCCGACGAUCAGUAGCCGACCUGAGAGGGUGACCGGCCACAUUGGGACUGAGACACGGCCCAA